rnacentral:rRNA from 1 species
AUUGAACGCUGGCGGCAGGCCUAACACAUGCAAGUCGAGCGGAGCGGCGGACGGGUGAGUAAUACCUAGGAAUCUGCCUGGUAGUGGGGGAUAACGUUCGGAAACGGACGCUAAUACCGCAUACUAUCAGAUGAGCCUAGGUCGGAUUAGCUAGUUGGUGAGGUAAUGGCUCACCAAGGCUACGAUCCGUAACUGGUCUGAGAGGAUGAUCAGUCACACUGGAACUGAGACACGGUCCAGACUCCUACGGGAGGCAGCAGUGGGGAAUAUUGGACAAUGGGCGAAAGCCUGAUCCAGCCAUGCCGCGUGUGUGAAGAAGGUCUUCGGAUUGUAAAGCACUUUAAGUUGGGAGGCGUUACCGACAGAAUAAGCACCGGCUAACUCUGUGCCAGCAGCCGCGGUAAUAC